AUUGAACGCUGGCGGCAUGCUUUACACAUGCAAGUCGAACGGCAGCGCGGGGGCAACCCUGGCGGCGAGUGGCGAACGGGUGAGUAAUGUAUCGGAACGUAUCCUGUAAUGGGGGAUAACCAGUCGAAAGAUUGGGUAAUACCGCAUACGCACGAGAGUGGAAAGUAGGGGAUCGCAAGACCUUACGUUAUAGGAGCGGCCGAUAUCUGAUUAGCUAGUUGGUGGGGUAAAGGCCUACCAAGGCGACGAUCAGUAGCUGGUCUGAGAGGACGACCAGCCACACUGGGACUGAGACACGGCCCAGACUCCUACGGGAGGCAGCAGUGGGGAAUUUUGGACAAUGGGCGAAAGCCUGAUCCAGCCAUGCCGCGUGCAGGAAGAAGGCCUUCGGGUUGUAACUGCUUUAGUCUAGGAAAAGGGGUAGGCGAGGUUAAUACCUACGUGCUUUGUAUGGUACUGGAAGAAUAAGCACCGGCUAACUACGUGCCAGCAGCCGCGGUAAAGUACUACC
rnacentral:rRNA from 1 species